rnacentral:lncRNA from 1 species
GAAUACUUAUUUUUCAGGUACAAGACAACCCAGUACAAUUUGAUUCAAGGUUUGGAUCAACCUUUUUAAGUUUUGGAACUCUUCCAAAAUUAAAGAUCAAGACAAAACAGAGUAUGUGAGUUAAUCACACGAAAAUAUAAAUUUAGUUCCUUUAAUAAGCAAAUAAAAUUUUAAAUGUACUUUACACAAUAAGAAGGAAGCUUUU